UUGUGCGCUUCUGAGAGGUGGAAGAGGGAAGAAUUUCAACUGAAAAGGCUGUAAGCGUGCAGUGAGGAUAUUUGCUGACCAUGAGAUUAAAAGGUUUCAACAAGACCUAAAAGGCUACAUUUAGGAGCAUUAACAGAAUGGGUAAAUUCCUUACCAAUAUCAUGGAUACUUAAAGUACAAGUGUGCAAGUUGCAAUUUGGCCUUAUUAACAUUCCCCUCCAUGACUAUUCUGGCCGCAUGUAAAUCACACCCAGGGAGCUGAACAGAAUGUUUUGAGACUCAGAAGUCACACAUUAGUCCUCUUCAUUGCUGCUGUGUUGUUGUACUAUCAGGCAGGUGCGGCAGGU
rnacentral:lncRNA from 1 species